rnacentral:rRNA from 1 species
CACGUAGGGGGCGAGCGUUGUCCGGAUUUAUUGGGCGUAAAGAGCUCGUAGGCGGCUCAGUAAGUCAGGUGUGAAAACUCCAGGCUCAACCUGGAGACGCCACCUGAUACUGCUGUGGCUAGAGUCCGGUAGGGGAGCAUGGAAUUCCUGGUGUAGCGGUGAAAUGCGUAGAUAUCGGGAGGAACACCAGUGGCGAAGGCGGCGAUCUGGGAAGAUACUGACGCUGAGGUGCGAAAGCGUGGGGAGCAAACAGG